rnacentral:ncRNA from 1 species
GUUCAAAUGAGGAAGUGCUUACGGUGGAUACCUAGGCACCUAGAGACGAGGAAGGGCAUGGUAAGUGACAAAAUGCUUCGGGGAGUUGAAAAUGAGCAUAGAUUCAGAGAUUCCUGAAUAGGUUAACCUUUUUAACUGCUGCUGAAUACAUGGGCAGGCAAGAGACAACCUGGAGAACUGAAACAUCUUAGUAGCCAGAGGAAUAGAAAUCAAAAGCGAUUCCCGUAGUAGCGGCGAGUGAAAUGGGAGCAGCCUAAACCGUGAAAAUGGGGUUGUGGGAGAGCACAAUAUAAGCUCUAUGCUGCUAGGAGAAGCGGUUGAGUCCUGCACCCUAGAUGGUGAGAUUCCAGUAGCCAAAAGCAUUAUUGGGUUACGCUCUAACCCGAGUAGCAUGGGGCACAUGGAAUCCUGUGUGAAUCAGCAAGGACGACCUUGCAAGGCUAAAUUCUCCUGGGUGACCGAUAGCGAAGUAGUACCGUGAGGGAAAGGUGAAAAGAACCCCCAUCGGGGAGUGAAAUAGAACAUGAAACCGUAAGC